AGGGAACCGGUGGUCGACGGGAUCCAGCGGAUGCCAGCCGCGCAAGAGGGAUCUAGCUCAAGGGAGCCGAUGAGACGCGUGCGGGGCAACCGGCGGUCCGGGGGAUCCAGCCAAGGCGAGGCGUCUGAGGGGAUCCGGCGCUCGAGCGGCUGCCUCCAGGGUAUGGACAGGUGCAAACUGUUCUUGUGUACACAUCAGUCAGCUAUUCACAUAUAAGAAAUCAUUUCGUUAAAAGGUGCACGCAUCCCAAGCGAACACGGAGUGAAAAACUGGGAGGAGAAUAUAGACGCAUCUUAGCCAGUUGGCUCGUGUUUGGGGAUCAGUGCAAGUUUAAUCGGAAUGAUUUUCAAUGUCUCAAUACAGCAGCCGUGAGCACCAGUUCAGUACACGUUGGAAGAAGGUUUGGAGAGACCGACCCCAUGUGUCAACUACAGUAUGUUCGACGAAAUGUGGAGCGUGGUUUUAAAUGGAGAUUCUUGGUAUCACGUGUCAGGACGUAAGUCACUAGGAAAGGAAAAGGGUGACGAGUUAACAGCUUCCUGUGCAACGGAAGCGUGAAAUGAUGUCGUGAAAUCUCACGAUUAGCCUGUUGCGAUUCAAGAUUAGAGAAGUGACAGUAUGUAUCUUUCUAAUGAAUGAAUAAAAAGGAAUUCCGCUCAGCGUAUUAUUCUGUGUUUUUAUGUCACGCAUAGUAGUUAAUCAAAUGAUGUGUUAAUUUGAGAAAUGAUUUGCAUGGACAACAAGCUUUCUUCAACGAGUCAACGUAGGCCGAUGAAAACUCGUGGAGUACACGGCUAUUCUCAAAAAUGGGACAUGGAGUUGAGUUGCAUAUCAGAUCAACGUACCACAUGCAUGGUAAAGUUGUGCGCUGAGGGUCCCACAUGCAUGCAUGCAAUUUCUGAACACAAGUUACUCCUAAUUCAUUAAUGCUUUGCGUGUCUGGGAUAGAUAUGUCAACAUGAUGAUCCCGUCGUUGAUGAUGAACAUGUCACUCCCACUCCAAAUCAGCCUAUUGUUCACCCAGUUGGAAUCUCGCACGUGACAGAGUUAGGCGGGGGAUUAAUAAACCCGACAGGUUAAUUGAAGAGUGCAAUAUUGUUUCUUUUGCUUUAUCUGUUGCAGAAGAAAUUGAAGGUAAUGCUGAGCCUUUUUCGUAUUCCGAGGCUAUUAUUUCUGGUGAUAGUAAUAAGUGGAUGACCGCUAUGCAUGAUGAGAUGGAAUCACUUGAAAAGAAUGGCACUUGGGAUUUAGUAAGAUUACCUAGAGAGAAGAAACCUAUUCAUUGCAAGUGGGUUUUCAAGAGGAAAGAAGGUGUUUCUCCUAAUGAUGAGACAAGAUAUAAAGCAAGGUUAGUUGCUAAAGGUUACAGUCAGAUUCCAGGUAUUGACUAUAACGAAGUAUUUUCUCCUGUUGUGAAGCAUAGCUCUAUUCGCACUUUAUUUAGUAUUGUUGCCAUGCAUGAUUUUGAGCUUGAAUAAUUGGAUGUUAAAACUGCAUUUUUACAUGGAGAAUUAGAAGAGGAUAUUUAUAUGGAACAACCUGAAGGUUUUGUUAUUCCUGGAAAAGAAAAGCUUGUCUGUAAGUUAAAGAAAUCUCUUUAUGGAUUGAAGCAAUCCCUAAGACAGUGAUACAAGAGAUUUGACAACUUUAUGCUCUCUCAAGGUUUCAAAAGGUCUAAUUAUGAUAGUUGUGUUUAUUUGAAAACUGUCAAUGGUUCAACUAUUUAUUUGCUCCUUUAUGUUGAUGAUAUGCUAAUUGCUGCAAAGUGUAUGUCAGAGAUUAAUGACCUAAAGAAGCAAUUGAGUAAUGAAUUUGAGAUGAAGGAUUUGGGUGCAGCAAAGACAAUACUUGGCAUGGAAAUAUCCAGAGAUAGACCAUCUGGAAAAGUAUAUCUAAGUCAGAAGGGAUAUAUUGAUAAAGUUCUUCGUCGUUUUAAUAUGCAUAAUGCCAAGCCGGUAAGUACCCCGUUAGCUACACACUUCAAAUUAUCAUCAGCUUUAUGUCCUAAGUCAGAUGCCGAUAUUGAGUACAUGUCUAGAGUUCCCUAUUCAAGUGUAGUUGGUUCACUUAUGUAUGCCAUGGUUUUUUCUCGUCCGGAUUUAUCAUAUGCUUUGAGUGUUGUCAGUAGAUACAGGGCUAAUCCUGGAAAGGAGCAUUGGAAAGCAGUUUAG
rnacentral:rRNA from 1 species